AUAGCGUAUAUUAACGUUGUUGCAGUUAAAAAGCUCGUAGUUGAAGUGUGGGUGAUCGCURUUGUGAGACUUCGGUCUCUCGAYAGUAAGUCACCCCCUUCCAGUAUCCAGUAGUGGGUAUUCAGUUACUUACUAUUGUGUGUUGGUCGUUUACUGUGAGAAAAUUAGAGUGUUCAAAGCAGGCGUUUGCUUGAAUAGAUUAGCAUGGAAUAAUAAUUGAAGGCUUUCGUGUUCGAUUUGAUUGGUUUGUUCAUGGAAGCAAGGUUAAAAGGAACAGUUGGGGGUAUUCAUAUUCACUAGUUAGAGGUGAAAUUCUCGGAUUUAUGGAAGAUGAACAAGUGCGAAAGCAUUUACCAAGGAUGUUUUCAUUAAUCAAGAACGAAAGCUAGGGGAUCGAAGAGGAUUAGAUACCCUCGUAGUCUUAGCUAUAAACGAUACCGACUAGGGGUUAGUAGAGGUCAAAGUGUCUUUAUUAGUACCUUAUGAGAAAUCAAAGUCUUUGGGUUCCGGGGGGAGUAUGGUCGCAAGGCUGAAACUUA
rnacentral:rRNA from 1 species